rnacentral:lncRNA from 1 species
GUUUGGUUUUAGUUUUUUCCCUAAAAUAAUAGUCAACGCUAACCUAAUCAAAUGGCAUCCAUUUGAAUAAAAUGACAGUAGCAGAAGCUAGUUAAUGUCAGUGACAUUAAACUAACUCAGGGAUUCAGGAGUUUUAAUAAUAGAAUUUAUAGGUAACUGAUAUAGUAUGGCUUCAUUUUUUCCUUAAUAAUCUCAUGUUCUCCUGGUCCAUUUUGUAUUGUAUCUUCUUCUGAAAAAGAGAACAACAGUAGUACUUUAAGCAUAUUUACUAUUGUGCAUUUAGUUUGCCAACUGUCUUUCAGAUUCUUGAAUAUAUCCAUAUCAUCUGUUUUAUUUUACUGUGAUGGUAUUGGAUUUUUCUUUUUUCUCCCAGUUUUUGUAAUAGGUCUUAUUUUUGGUUAACAUAGAAUGGUAGAGAGAAGAGAGGUCAAAUGACUUUUGUUCAAAAUUCAUUAUUUAGCAUAUAAAUCAAAUUGUGAAUCAAUAACGUUUUUGAGGAUCUAUAACCUUUCUACGUAUAAAGGUUAUUAUGUGGCUUUUUUUGUUUUACUGCUAGUUUGAUUUCAUACCACUGGGAAAUUUUGGAAACUUCCACCAGAGACCUAGUGAUACUCUGAUGCUAUAUUUAAAGAAUUCUUAAUACCUCUAGGAAGCUAAAAACAAUUCAUUAUAGGUUUUCUCUUCCCCAUUUUUUUCUUUAUCCCCCUUCUUGCUUUCUAUCUUUGUUCUGCCAACCAACACUUCAGAAACUUGCAUGCAGAUAGUCUUAAAAUGAAUACCACAGCAGUUUGUGUGUGUAGCAUGUGUAAUUACAUUCUCAGAAAAAAAAAAAAACUCACCUGUAUAUAGGUUUGGAUUUACAUUUCAAAACAAAGUACUUAAGAAAAACAGUCCCUUUAGCUGCCAAAAAGAGCAUUGUGAAUUAUGUUUUCUCCUUCCAAUAUACACAAACACGCACACACACAUACACAUACACAUAUACACACACCAGCUGGUAUUGUCCAUUUUUGAAAAUAAGUUUAAUGUAUAUUGCACAUUAUUAUGACUUUAAGGAUGGAGCAAAUAACAGUAGCAAAAGAAAUGGAACUUAAAAGAUUCUCUUUUCAUGUGAAUUUUUCAUCACACUUGACUUUCCAAUUAAAAUGGAAGUAUAAGCUUUCUGAAUGCAAUAUUGUUCAAGGCCCUCGCUGGUCUUUAAAUAUGUAAUAUUUAAUGAAGUUCAACAAAUUUCUCCUUUUAUCUUCAAGAAAAUUAAAAACA